AAAUUAUAUUCUAGAAUACAGAUUUCACAUAAAAGUAUUAUAUGAACAUAUAAUUUAAAGUCUUUAAUAUAUACAUUCAAAUUGCAAUAUUACAUGAGUACAUAAGUGGACAGAUAAACGGAGUAAAGGUUUUUUUCCCAGAAUUUUAAAGAUGCAAUGCACACUUGGUUUUUUAAUCCAUAUAUUGUUAUUUUACACUUCAACAUUAUCUCAUUACAGAUUGCAAAUUUUCGAGGGGGGUGUAAGAAGACAAAUCUGCUAUAUAGUUAGUAACUGCAAUAAGGAGUUGUGUAAGUAAAUAAUAUAGUUAGUUAGUGACAAAACAUAUGCUAUAUAAUCAAUAAUAUUUGUUAGUUAUUUAAUCAAGUGUGUUAAGUUUCUCUGAAAGUAAUGCUUGCCAAGAUUCUACAGAUUUGUAGACUCCUGUCACCUAAAUUUCUCCACAAAUAGUCUUGGGUAUUAAAGUUAUUUUGAAUCUUGGGGAUACAAAUAGAUAGAAAAUUUAGGUGAAGAAAAAAUACCCAAAUGGUAUUGGGAAAACAGAUACAAACAAUCUUUGUAAAAACAGAAAAAAUACCCAAAUGGUAAAGGAACCAAAGAUGGAUUAUGGAAUCUGACCUUGAAGUUGUCGGAAUGGACUGGAGGUCUAUCCCUCACCACACUGUUCGCUGGACAGGAAGUAUCGCCUUCGCCGAAUGGAAGUAUCGCUCUCGUAGGAUCUCGGUAUCGCUGGUCCAGACUCUCACUCAAAACUCGUUGUUGGUCACGGAAUCAACUUGCCGCUUGCCGCUCGCCUCUCACCAGAAAUCGAAGUUGGAAUCACCGGAGGUGGGGGUGGGAGAAAAACACGAUUUGGGAAAUAAAAGAUUUAACUUUUAACGCUUGAUCGAUAUCUAUUGUUUAAUUUAGGAAUUUUUGUUUAUUUAUAAUUUUUGACUAUUACAUUUUACAAUUUACACGUUUUGUAAUUUUUUACCUUAACACGUUUACUGGUUUUGAUUUAUU
rnacentral:lncRNA from 1 species